GAAGAAAAAAAGAAAAGAAGAAAAAAGAAAAAAAAGAAGAGAAAGAAAAAGAAAAGAAAGAAAAAAAUAGAAGUGUGGCGACCAAUAUGAUGUUGGUGCACCACAUGCGACAACGCGCGCUGAUCGCAAUCAUCAGCGCCUGGCAUUUUUGGUAAUAUGCGUGUGAUGGUGUGUGGUGACGCUGGCGAUUGGGACUGCGUAUCGAAGGUAAGAGGAAGUCAAAGAUCAAUGGAAGAUGACGAAAAAAAAAUUAUUAGUUUUUAUUUUUUAAUUGUAAAUUAAUUUAUAUUUUUCAAUUAUUUGUAAACAAAUAAUUAUCCAAUCACAAGUGAUGUGUAUUAAAGUGUAGUUCUGCUACAUAUUAAUAUUUAUUUGUUCUACUAGUUGGAAAUAUUGUGCUAACGUCUGUACCCACCGACAUUGGAGUUCGAGAUGUUACACUUACUUCAAGUGAUUCCUUCAGGAUACAAGAAGUUAGGCUUAUAAUAUACACAAAGAGACAAACAGUUGUGUUGCUUGUUGAUCAAUACAUCUUUUGAGUUGCA